rnacentral:rRNA from 1 species
AUGAAGCAGCGGCCGGAGCAGGGAGCAGGGAGCAGGGAGGCCGGAAGGCGCGUUCGGGGAGGCGCCGUGCAGGUUGUCGGCGAGGGCGACGGAGAGGUCCGGCUCACCGGGCCAGCGGACGGCAGGGCAAGGGCCAGCGCGGAGCGGGGCUCGAGCACUGCAGAGGGAGAAGGACGGCGGGAGCUGCAGGGUGCCGGCGAUGCUGAGGGCCUCACGAGCCAUGCCGGGCGACAAACACAGCUUGGGGGAGGUGCGGAUGCGAGGCCUCGCUGGUGGCCUGCUGGACGGGCGCGAGGAAGGAGACGCGUGGAGGAGGCUCGCGGGCAGGCAGCAGCGUAG